rnacentral:rRNA from 1 species
UACGUAGGGUGCAAGCGUUAAUCGGAAUUACUGGGCGUAAAGCGUGCGCAGGCGGUGAUGUAAGACAGGGGUGAAAUCCCCGGGCUUAACCUGGGAACUGCAUUUGUGACUGCAUCGCUGGAGUGCGGCAGAGGGGGAUGGAAUUCCGCGUGUAGCAGUGAAAUGCGUAGAUAUGCGGAGGAACACCGAUGGCGAAGGCAAUCCCCUGGGCCUGCACUGACGCCCAUGCACGAAAGCGUGGGGAGCAAACAGG